AUAUAAGGAACCUCCUGGUUCUUUAUUGAAAGAUGGUUUCGGCUAUCACUCACAGAUGGGCCCGCGGCGCAUUAGCUAGUUGGUGAGGUAACGGCUCACCAAGGCGACGAUGCGUAGCCGACCUGAGAGGGUGAUCGGCCACACUGGGACUGAGACACGGCCCAGACUCCUACGGGAGGCAGCAGUAGGGAAUCUUCCACAAUGGACGAAAGUCUGAUGGAGCAACGCCGCGUGAGCGAUGAAGGCCUUCGGGUCGUAAAGCUCUGUUGUUAGGGAAGAACAAGUGCGAGAGUAACUGCUCGCACCUUGACGGUACCUAACCAAGCCACGGCUAACUACGUGCC
rnacentral:rRNA from 2 species